rnacentral:misc_RNA from 1 species
GUCCCGCUGCAUUCUCAAUCCGCAAGGGUUCCCUAUACAUAAAGAAAUUGUAGGCAGUGUCUAUAAGCCAGGGCACUCCGAUGCCUACAUAUAUGUUCACUGAAUUGCUGCAAGUGAUGUUUGCAAUGGCAGAAUCUGCUGUUGUUUGGCGUUCAGCAGCAAUCUUACUUGCCACCAAGUCUGGCCAUGAAGUCCCACUAGCUAAUGCCGUAAAUGCAAUGACAUAAGCAUUUAUUCCUGUGACGCAGCUUAUAAGAUCUGUGAGCUUUGUUACAAUGUAAGC